GUGAUGAGUAAUGUUAGUGCAGUGAUUUUGGUUUUCUAAAUUUAUUUCAUAAAUAAAUCCCUGUGAGGCGGUCUGAGGUAAAGUUAACGUUAAAAUCUGAGACACAGUUUUAUAUUUUUAUUUUAGUUAUUUUAAGUGUAACGUUAACUGUUUAAUGCUAUAAACCGCAGAAUAAUCACUUAACGUAUAUUCGUUAAACGGCACCUGUAGUAGAGUGUUUGUUAAUUUUAGACUCUGCCUGGCCUCCCUGAAGCUCACAUGAACCAUACUGAAAAUUCAAUAAAAUCUAUAUAAAACGGUUAAUCAGACACGGUUAAUUACUUCACGGGUUGUUAACUUAAAUUCUUUUGUAAUGACAGCCAAUGAACCAGCCAAAUCAGUGAUUCCCCCAACACCCUGUUCUCACUAGACUACUACUUUAAUGUAAAGAGUAAUUUCCUAUUACUUCCUAUGAUAAGCAAGCAUACUAAAUCACAGAAUAUUUAAGUUCUCAUUCUGUUUUAUUUCAGAACUUAAUUAACACAUGGCUCAAACUUACAAAACAUUGAGUCAAACAAGUUCUGUAGCUUUACAAAAGGAAUAUGAGUUUGUAGAAAGGCGCUAUAUAAAAUAAACGUAUUAUUAUGAAUAUCCAAAAACUUCUAUAAAAAUAAACAAAUAAAAUAUUUUUAAAAAUGUGUGCUUCGUCCUGCCUGCUUCCGCUGCUGCUUUAACCAUCCUUGGCGGUGGCAAAGUGAAAGUGGUUUUCCAGCCUCAACACGCAGUUGCACGGAGUAUUUUGCACCCACUGUCAUGUAACACACCGGGAAACUGCUUCGCGCGGUCUUUUGCGCUUAUUUUUAUUGGCAAAUGAGAAUGAUUUGUGUGCUUCAUCAUGGUUACAUGGUUUGCAGAUGAUGUUCACGUCGCGUAAUUACGUCACUUCACAAGGUUCCCAUGGCAAUAGGGGGAAAAUAAUGGCGCUUUACUAGUGUGAAGCAAAAUAUAUGCUAGCCCCGCAUAUAUUUUGCUUGCUGAAAUCGGCAAUUUAUGCGGCGAAAGUGCGGCGUAUUUGAAAAAAAUGCGACCCCCGCAUAAAUAUGCGGACGUUGGCUGAUUAUGCAUGAAAUCAGGCGAUCGCAUAAUCGCGUUUUUCUGGAGGGACUUAUAAGCAGGGAUAAUCUCCAGGUGGACUGCACGGGUCCAGAAUCAAGAGAUCAUUCAUCAUGCAGACCAUGUUCCAGGAGAAGCAGCGUAUCCUGGGUCUGCUUGAUCAUUUUGUUGUCCUGGAUGUGAGAACAUGGUCAAAAGGUGUGUCAAUCAGCAUCCAGCCAUAAAAGCAGCCUUCUCGUUAAAAGGCUCAGGAGGACAAACGGCUGCCAGAGGAGGAUGAUGAUGGCAGUGGUGACCAAGGUGACUGUGCAGCUCAGGAUGAAGAAGAGGAGGAACAAUUUGCCAAAAUCCAAAGUGAAUAUACAGAGACCAACCUCCUAUCCUUGCCUCAGAAGAACCUGAGAAAGACACCCUUCCUCUUCUCUCACAGCUCUCCAUCAUCUACCUCUGCAACACUGUUGGAAAGAGUGUUCUACACAGCUGAGGACACCGUAAUGAGAGAUCUCAAAUUCUUCCUGAGAAAGUCCACAUGUUCAUUUUCUUGAACAAAAACUGUACAUAUAUUUUUGGGUGGGCCAAAAUAUUAUUUGAAGAAAUGCUAAAAAUCUCUAUAUUGUUGUUUAUACAUAUCUUUUACUCUUUAUGAAUGUCAUCUUCUGGAUUUUUUUAGCUUUUGAGAAGCUCAAGGACUGUAUGUCUUUGGUAAUUGUGAUAUUGUCUGGCAGUAAAGCAGUAUUAAAGCACAUUACCUCAGUAUAUUUGUAGCAGCUGCCUCAUACAGGACACUUAGGAAAUGAUUUAUUUUUUGCAAAUAAAGUAAUAAAAUAUCUGCUGAAUCUUUUUCAUAUCUUUGUCAUUUUUGUGCCAAAUUAUGGAUAGUAGUAAUCAUAAGAGUAUCUAUAAAUAUAAUUGA